UGGGGAAUAUUGCACAAUGGGGGAAACCCUGAUGCAGCGACGCCGCGUGAACGAAGAAGUAUUUCGGUAUGUAAAGUUCUAUCAGCAGGGAAGAUAAUGACGGUACCUGAUGAAUAAGCCACGGCUAACUACGUGCCAGCAGCCGCGGUAAUACGUAGGUGGCAAGCGUUAUCCGGAUUUACUGGGUGUAAAGGGCGCGUAGGCGGGGAUACAAGUCAGAUGUGAAAUCUAUGGGCUUAACCCAUAAACUGCAUUUGAAACUGUAUCUCUUGAGUGUCGGAGAGGUAGACGGAAUUCCUAGUGUAGCGGUGAAAUGCGUAGAUAUUAGGAGGAACACCAGUGGCGAAG
rnacentral:rRNA from 1 species